rnacentral:rRNA from 1 species
GAUGAACGCUAGCGGCGGGCCUAACACAUGCAAGUCGAACGCACUAGCAAUAGUGAGUGGCGCACGGGUGCGUAACACGUGGGUAAUCAACCCUUCAGCUUGGGAUAACGACUUGAAAGGGUCGCUAAUACCGGAUACGGCGAGAGAGGCUUCGGCAUUUCUCGAGAAAGCCUCGCAAGGGGCACUGAAGGACGAGCCUGCGGCCCAUCAGCUAGUUGGUGAGGUAAGAGCUCACCAAGGCGAAGACGGGUAGCUGGUCUGAGAGGAUGAUCAGCCACACUGGAACUGAGACACGGUCCAGACUCCUACGGGAGGC